GUAGGGAAUAUUGCACAAUGGAGGAAACUCUGAUGCAGCGACGCCGCGUGAGUGAUGAAGGCCUUCGGGUCGUAAAACUCUGUGAUAAGGGAAGAUGAUGACGGUACCUUAUCAGAAAAGACCGGCUAACUUCGUGCCAGCAGCCGCGGUAAUACGAGGGGUCUAAGCGUUGUUCGGAAUCACUGGGCGUAAAGCGGGUGUAGGUGGCUAUGCAAGUUGGAUGUGAAAGCCCCGGGCUCAACCCGGGAAGUGCAUCCAAAACUACGUAGCUUGAGUGCGGGAGAGAAAGGCAGAAUUCCUGGUGUAGUGGUGAAAUACGUAGAUAUCAGGAGGAACUCCGGUGGCGAAGGCGGCCUUUUGGCCCAGCACUGACACUCAGACCCGAAAGCGUGGGUAGCAAACAGGAUUAGAAACCCUUGUAGUCC
rnacentral:rRNA from 1 species